ensembl:lincRNA
AUGAGGCCUGUAAUGACAAGAGUGUCACCACCCCCAACAUGCAUCAGUGUUUCUGCCAGGGAGACCUUCCACAGCAACUCAGCUGGAGAGAAGUUAUUUCAAAGUCGACCCACAACUAUCGGCAUUGUUUGGCAAAAGGAGGACGAUGAAGAACAAGAAAAAAGGACAUCUAAAUGUGAAAGGAGGAUGACUCACAACACACAGAGUCAGUCCAGUGAGGAGGUGGAUGCCGAUAAUAUAUAUAUGGAAAUGCAUGGACAGCUAAAUGAGCAACGUUGCAAAGAGGAUGACGAUGAUGUUUAUGAAGAAUUCCAUGUCACUAAGGACUGUAAAGACACUGACUCUCAAGGAAAGAGGCUCUCAAAUCUUUCAAUAGUGGGAACUCCAUAGCAGCUGUUUUCUCAUAAUGUCAUAAUGUUAACCUACUCAAACUCUAGGUAGUUAAUAACAGCUAAUAACAGUUAAUAACAUAAGGAUGCUGAACACGGAUAUUUGUUGCUGGAUGUUUGAAGUUUCUAAGAAAUUAAGGCAGACAGUAAAGACCACCACUCAAAUUCUGCAAUAAAACAGAUAGAACAAGAACAAGAAACGAUAACGUUUUUGGUCACAUGUUUAAUUAAAAUGGUUUUUCAAACAUUUCAGGUUCUGAACCGACAGUUACAUUAAAAAGAAUUAAAAACCUUCAAGAAUAAAACUAGAUUAUAUUAUUAUAUUAUAUUUUAAACCAAAUACACAUUGCUGUCAUUUUUAUUACAGUACGUAUUAUGAGAGUAUUAGACUUUUCUUCCAAUGCUUCAAUGAACUGAAUAUCUCUCUAUAAAAUAUUUUCUCUGCUCAGUAAAACUUGAUAGAGAAAGUAUGUCUGUAUGUUAGCCCAUUAUCUCAGAGUGCCUGGUUGACUUAUUCAUAUUUUAUCCUAUCACCUUAUACAUGAAAAGGCAUUCCUUUGCAUCUUGCAUUAUUAGAGCUUAAUAUGUGUAAGAUGUGUUUACAGUAUGUCCUUCUGAAUAUUAUAUUUGUACCAGCAUUAUCUAAUUUUAAAUACAAUAAAAUACAAAUGAUUUCAAAUUGAAAUUGAUUGCUACUCAUAAAGCACACCUGUCCUGCUAAGAAAAGUCUUUUUCAUUGUCAUUGUUCAGGUUUGUAUGGUACAGUAGUAUUUUCUGUGCUAAAUGGACUGUGAAAGGAAUUGGAAAAAAAGCACACAGGGGAUCAUGUGUGGUUAUACCCUGUUAUUUUGACUACCCAACAAAUGGCAAAAAUGACGUGAAGUGACCAUUAUAUGGUGAAACAUCUAACAUGAAGCCAUUUACCACUCUCGUGGAUUAAAUGUACUGUCAAGAUUUGUAGGAAGAACAAGCUUAUUUGGAGAUGAUACCAAGAGAAAUUGCACUAUGCAGAUUUCAAACUUCAGCAUGAGGACCAAAAUGCAUAGUAUCUCAGACUUGAGGCAAAAGACAUGAAAAACAGCUAUAUCGAAAACAAGGUUGCACUUCUUGUUUUAGGUAAAUGUAGUAAAAUUACCAGAACCUUUCUUGUAUUAGCAAUGUGAUAGAAUACGCCAAACGUAUUAUUGUUCUGAAUUAAGUACUUCCUUAAUCAGGGAGCAGAAGCUUAGGGGACAAAGUACUAAUUUUACUGCAGAAAACCUCCAUGCCUGUUGGCCAAUGCAUAGGAAUUUAUCAUGUGGUAUUGCCCUCUAGUGGAAAAAGAAGAAAUGAACAUUAAAAAGUCUUGAAUUAAAGUAAAACUAAAGAGGAACUUCCAGGUUGCUAGCUUGGAUGAUGGUGAUAAUAACACUUUAUUCUGUCGUAUAUACUGUACAUGCACAGGUACAUAAUCUAUCUAAGAUAUUUAACACUUUCAGGAAUACUGUAAAGGUUUUCACGGUGAAUACAGUUUGAAUGCUGAAGAGAGA